GAGAAGCUUGCUUCUCUGAUGUUAGCGGCGGACGGGUGAGUAACACGUGGAUAACCUACCUAUAAGACUGGGAUAACUUCGGGAAACCGGAGCUAAUACCGGAUAAUAUUUUGAACCGCAUGGUUCAAAAGUGAAAGACGGUCUUGCUGUCACUUAUAGAUGGAUCCGCGCUGCAUUAGCUAGUUGGUAAGGUAACGGCUUACCAAGGCAACGAUGCAUAGCCGACCUGAGAGGGUGAUCGGCCACACUGGAACUGAGACACGGUCCAGACUCCUACGGGAGGCAGCAGUAGGGAAUCUUCCGCAAUGGGCGAAAGCCUGACGGAGCAACGCCGCGUGAGUGAUGAAGGUCUUCGGAUCGUAAAACUCUGUUAUUAGGGAAGAACAUAUGUGUAAGUAACUGUGCACAUCUUGACGGUACCUAAUCAGAAAGCCACGGCUAACUACGUGCCAGCAGCCGCGGUAAUACGUAGGUGGCAAGCGUUAUCCGGAAUUAUUGGGCGUAAAGCGCGCGUAGGCGGUUUUUUAAGUCUGAUGUGAAAGCCCACGGCUCAACCGUGGAGGGUCAUUGGAAACUGGAAAACUUGAGUGCAGAAGAGGAAAGUGGAAUUCCAUGUGUAGCGGUGAAAUGCGCAGAGAUAUGGAGGAACACCAGUGGCGAAGGCGACUUUCUGGUCUGUAACUGACGCUGAUGUGCGAAAGCGUGGGGAUCAAACAGGAUUAGAUACCCUGGUAGUCCACGCCGUAAACGAUGAGUGCUAAGUGUUAGGGGGUUUCCGCCCCUUAGUGCUGCAGCUAACGCAUUAAGCACUCCGCCUGGGGAGUACGACCGCAAGGUUGAAACUCAAAGGAAUUGACGGGGACCCGCACAAGCGGUGGAGCAUGUGGUUUAAUUCGAAGCAACGCGAAGAACCUUACCAAAUCUUGACAUCCUUUGACAACUCUAGAGAUAGAGCCUUCCCCUUCGGGGGACAAAGUGACAGGUGGUGCAUGGUUGUCGUCAGCUCGUGUCGUGAGAUGUUGGGUUAAGUCCCGCAACGAGCGCAACCCUUAAGCUUAGUUGCCAUCAUUAAGUUGGGCACUCUAAGUUGACUGCCGGUGACAAACCGGAGGAAGGUGGGGAUGACGUCAAAUCAUCAUGCCCCUUAUGAUUUGGGCUACACACGUGCUACAAUGGACAAUACAAAGGGCAGCGAAACCGCGAGGUCAAGCAAAUCCCAUAAAGUUGUUCUCAGUUCGGAUUGUAGUCUGCAACUCGACUACAUGAAGCUGGAAUCGCUAGUAAUCGUAGAUCAGCAUGCUACGGUGAAUACGUUCCCGGGUCUUGUACACACCGCCCGUCACACCACGAGAGUUUGUAACACCCGAAGCCGGUGGAGUAACCUUUUAGGAGCUAGCCGUCGAAGGUGGGACAAAUGAUUGGGGUGAAGUCGUAACAAGGUAGCCGUAUCGGAAGGUGCGGCUGGAUCACCU
rnacentral:rRNA from 1 species